GCAGUCGACGCGAGAGGAGGGAGCUUGCUCCCUCUGAUCGAGUGGCGGACGGGUGAGUAACACGUAGGCAACCUGCCCAUCAGCCGGGGAUAACUGCGGGAAACCGUGGCUAAUACCGGAUAAUCCUCUCCACCGCGGGGUGGGGAGUUGAAAGACGGUUUCGGCUGUCGCUGAUGGAUGGGCCUGCGGCGCAUUAGCUGGUUGGCGGGGUAACGGCCCACCAAGGCAACGAUGCGUAGCCGACCUGAGAGGGUGAUCGGCCACACUGGGACUGAGACACGGCCCAGACUCCUACGGGAGGCAGCAGUAGGGAAUCUUCCGCAAUGGACGCAAGUCUGACGGAGCAACGCCGCGUGAGUGAAGAAGGGUUUCGGCUCGUAAAACUCUGUUGUUAAGGAAGAACGCCAGGUAGAGUAACUGCUACCUGUGUGACGGUACUUAACCAGAAAGCCACGGCUAACUACGUGCCAGCAGCCGCGGUAAUACGUAGGUGGCAAGCGUUAUCCGGAAUUAUUGGGCGUAAAGCGCGCGUAGGCGGUCUUUUAAGUCUGAUGUGAAAGCCCCCGGCUCAACCGGGGAGGGUCAUUGGAAACUGGGAGACUUGAGUGCAGAAGAGGAGAGUGGAAUUCCAUGUGUAGCGGUGAAAUGCGCAGAGAUAUGGAGGAACACCAGUGGCGAAGGCGGCUCUCUGGUCUGUAACUGACGCUGAUGUGCGAAAGCGUGGG
rnacentral:rRNA from 1 species